rnacentral:rRNA from 1 species
AGCAGCCGCGGUAAUUCCAGCUCCAAUAGCGUAUAUUAAAGUUGUUGCAGUUAAAAAGCUCGUAGUUGAAUUUCGGGGUCAGUAGGUCGGUCGUGCCACUGGUAUGAACUGGUCUCGCUGAUCCCUCCCUCUUGACGAACUGUGAUGCCAUUAAUUUGGUGUCGCAGGGAUUCAGGACUAGUUACUUUGAAAAAUUAGAGUGUUUAAAGCAGGCUUUCGCUUGAAUACAUUAGCAUGGAAUAAUGAAAUAGGACGUUUGAUCUUAUUUUGUUGGUUUCUAGGAUUGACGUAAUGAUUAAUAGGGAUAGUUGGGGGCAUUAGUAUUCAAUUGUCAGAGGU